AGAAAACAGAAAAAAAAUAAGUGAGGAUCUUGACACAUUUCUUGAUCUACACGUCAUAUAUCUGUAACGCCCGUGAACCGGAAAAUCGGUUAGGAUUUGUUUUUAAAUCAUCCGGUUUAAUUGGUUGGGUUAAUUAGAAACCUUAGAGUGUGCCUAUAAAAGAAGGAAACUCGAAAUUAGGGCUUUAGUUAGCCACUUUUCGUUUAUAAAAGAGAAAAAGAGAGAAAAGGAGAAGGAGCAGAAUCGUUAGGGUUUGGGAGAAAUCAGUUUCGUCAUAUCAAAUCGUGGUAAAAGGUAACGAAAUUUGGUAGAGUUAUUCUCAAGUCCUUUAUCGUUAUUCUCCAGUUUACAGAAUUGGAUUUGGAAUAAAAUUGGUUGAGUUAUUCGCAGUUUCGUGAGACACGUUUUCUCAGACGCGAAUUAGGACCAGCGGAGAUUGAAACUGAGAUCGUGGUCUAGUCUGUUUUCCGAUCGGCACGAGAUUUUGUGGGCAGCUUUUGACGUCUGUAGCUAGGAUUUCACCGGAGAGAUUGAAUAGUUAACGGUUAACUUGUAUUUUAGGGUUUCGUCUUUGAGACUGCUUGUUUUUGGUUUUUCCUGUCCAGUUUGCUUCAAGGUUGCUUUUGGUUGUGGACUUGUUGUAGGACGUUUCUGGACUGUUUCAGACGCAAGGAGAGUCUCUCAUGUGUUUAAUUGCUAUUAGAAUCAAUUUGUUAAGGUGAGUGCGUGACCAUGAGCUUAUCUGAGCGAUUGAGUUGUGUGAUUUGUUUUGGGUGAUGAUAUGUAGGUGUGGUGAAUGUGUUUUGGGUGAAUUGUUCAAUGACUGGUUUGUUUGUAUUGUAUUCGUGAUUAUACCCUUUUAUUUGCUUGUGUGUAUAGCUCGUAGAUGGGAGGAUCGCCUCACUAAGUAUUUAUGAUAAUACUUACGCAUCUCAUUGUGUUGUUGAUGCAGGUAAAGAUAAAGUAUGAUCGUGAAAUCAUGGCAAGGAAGAGAGGAUGAUCUAGGAACUCGUUUGUUUAAUUUUUGGUGUUUUUGGUUAUUGGAACCCGGUUAGGAUUGUCAGUUAUUCUUGGUUUUGUUGGUCGAAUUAUUUAUUUAUUCAUAAAAUAGUAUUUUUGACUUGCGGUUUAACUAUUAUGUUAUUGGUUGGUUUAAUUAGAUAUUUAUGGGAAUAUUUAAUUAUAUAUAUAUAUUUUUUUUU
rnacentral:sRNA from 1 species